rnacentral:rRNA from 1 species
UGGGGAAUAUUGCACAAUGGGCGAAAGCCUGAUCCAGCCAUGCCGCGUGUGUGAAGAAGGUCUUCGGAUUGUAAAGCACUUUAAGUUGGGAGGAAGGGCAUUAACCUAAUACGUUAGUGUUUUGACGUUACCGACAGAAUAAGCACCGGCUAACUCUGUGCCAGCAGCCGCGGUAAUACAGAGGGUGCAAGCGUUAAUCGGAAUUACUGGGCGUAAAGCGCGCGUAGGUGGUUUGUUAAGUUGGAUGUGAAAUCCCCGGGCUCAACCUGGGAACUGCAUUCAAAACUGACUGACUAGAGUAUGGUAGAGGGCGGUGGAAUUUCCUGUGUAGCGGUGAAAUGCGUAGAUAUAGGAAGGAACACCAGUGGCGAAGGCGACCACCUGGACUAAUACUGACACUGAGGUGCGAAAGCGUGGGGAGCAAACA